UGUUGGCAGGCUCAUGCUCUGAAUCUCUGGGUUGAGUCCUUCUUUGCCUCUUCCUAGCUUCAGAUGGUGGUGUCAGUCCUUGGGGUUCCCUGGCUUGCAGCUGCUUCACUCCAGUCUCUGCCUCCGUCAUCACAGGAGAAACACACUUUUGGGGGGACACAACUCAAACCAUAACAUUCUGUGACACAGCAACCUCCCUCUGUGGUGUGUAUCCCAGAGACAAUUCUGCAACCAACCAUGAGGAAACAAAUGUGAUGAUGCUGGUGGCCACCAAAGUUGUCAGAGCAAGGAGCCAAAGGUGAACUAUGUAUCCAUGACCAGGAGGAAUGAAUAAAGCUGACCAGGUGAGAAAACAGGGCCUGCGGGGAAAGUUCCCCGCUCAAGACCUCAGAGCUGCUAAGAAAUGAAGAAAAUCUUGGAGACCAGUCUGUCUUACUCUAAAACCUCUUCCUUCGUGUUUUUUCCUCUCAUUGACCAGUUAUCUGCCUGCUUCUUGGUUCUGGAUAGGCCACAGGCCAACUCUUCCCUCCAUUAUAUAAAAACAGCCACCAGCAGGACCACAUUUAAAAGUGGACUUUUG
rnacentral:lncRNA from 1 species